GAUGAACGCUAGCGGCAGGCCUAACACAUGCAAGUCGAGGGAGGAGCUUUCGGGCUUCGACCGGCGUACGGGUGCGUAACGCGUAUACAAUCUGCCUUUCACAUAGGGAUAGCCCGAAGAAAUUUGGAUUAAUACCUAAUGGUAUAUAGGAGUGGCAUCACAUUUAUAUUAAAGCUGAGGCGGUGAAAGAUGAGUAUGCGUUCUAUUAGCUAGUUGGAGAGGUAACGGCUCCCCAAGGCUACGAUAGAUAGGGGUUCUGAGAGGGAUAUCCCCCACACUGGUACUGAGACACGGACCAGACUCCUACGGGAGGCAGCAGUGAGGAAUAUUGGUCAAUGGUCGGAAGACUGAACCAGCCAUGCCGCGUGCAGGAAGACGGCCUUAUGGGUUGUAAACUGCUUUUGGAAGGGAAGAAUAAGU
rnacentral:rRNA from 1 species